GUGGGUCUUUGAUUGUGUGUGUGUGUGAGAGAGAGAAAGGGAGGGAGGGAGCUGGAGUCAGAAAGAGCUGAGCUUCUCCCCCUAUAAGCCAAGAGAGCAACCUGCUCACCCUCUUUUUCUUUCCUUCUUUUCCAGCAAGUGACAAAGGAUCCAACCGUUCAGACCAGGGGAGCAGCCAGUCCAUUUAGCAGCCUCCUUGCAGCACAAGUGGACAGUCCCAGCAUGAGGAGAGAGGAGAGGGGAUCGGCCUUCUCCUGAAUUAGACCGGACUCUCAGGAGGAGCCCUUCAGGGCCUCCCAGCAUGCCUGGAACCAGGAUAUAUUUGAGGUCUUUCGUGAUUGCUUUCAUCAUCGAAUCAGUAACCAUUUUUAUUUUGAGGACCAGAGGAGGAAAGAGAAUCUUAUGUGUUCAUGGGAUCGAAAGGAUUCAACUUGGAUUUAGUAGAUAUUCUUUAUUUGUAUCCUGACGAAGGUAUUGAAGGUACCCAACACACCUUCCUCACGUUUUCCCCACAGCAACAACAACCCUGUGAGGUGGGCUGGACUGAGAGGGAGUGAGUGGCCCAAGGUCACCCAGCUGGCUUUCAUGGCUGAGGCAGGACUUGAACUCACAGUCACUUUCUAGCCUGGUGCCUUAACCACUAGACCAAACUGCCUUGUGUGGCUCGUAAUAGCUCUGUAAUAUAGCUUGAUGCAACCAUGUUGUUAUUAUGACCUUUAAUGGGCUCCUGAUGAUUGACAGGUUUUAGAGAAGGUUUUGUGGAGAAUGGGGGGAGGAAUAGGAUGGAGAGUUGCUGGUUUUACUUUAAGGGAGAGUGAUAAGUUGUUAAAUCUCUAUCAUACUUGCUGGAUUGAAAGUGGAGGGUUUAAAUAGAUAUGUGCAAUAUAAUCUUUGUUUAACAGAUACGUAUAAUAGAAUCUUUAAAUUAUUUUUUAAAAAAGAAAUGUGCUU